rnacentral:rRNA from 1 species
AACAAACGCUGGCGGCGCGCCUAAUACAUGCAAGUCGAACGACGUAGCAAUACGGAGUGGCGCACGGGUGAGUAACACGUGGGUAAUCUGCCUUAGAGUGGGGGAUAACCAGUCGAAAGACUGGCUAAUACCGCAUAAGACCACAAGAUCUGCGGAUCAAGGGGUUAAAGGUUUUUCGCUCUAAGAUGAGCCCGCGUAAGAUUAGCUAGUUGGUGAGGUAAUGGCUCACCAAGGCGACGAUCUUUAGCUGGUCUGAGAGGAUGAUCAGCCACACUGGAAAUGAGACACGGUCCAGACUCCUACGGGAGGCAGCAGUAGGGAAUAUUGCACAAUGGAGGAAACUCUGAUGCAGCGACGCCGCGUGAGCGAUGAAGGCCUUCGGGUUGUAAAGCUCUGUCGCAUGGGAAUAAGACAGUGAAUGUACCAUGCAAGAAAGGAUCGGCUAACUUCGUGCCAGCAGCCGCCGUAAAAC